ACUCCUACGGGAGGCAGCAGUGGGGAAUAUUGCACAAUGGGCGCAAGCCUGAUGCAGCCAUGCCGCGUGUAUGAAGAAGGCCUUCGGGUUGUAAAGUACUUUCAGCAGUGAGGAAGGUGGGUAUGUUAAUAGCAUACUCAUUUGACGUUAGCUGCAGAAGAAGCACCGGCUAACUCCGUGCCAGCAGCCGCGGUAAUACGGAGGGUGCGAGCGUUAAUCGGAAUUACUGGGCGUAAAGCGCAUGCAGGUGGUUUGUUAAGUCAGAUGUGAAAGCCCGGGGCUCAACCUCGGAAUUGCAUUUGAAACUGGCAAACUAGAGUACUGUAGAGGGGGGUAGAAUUUCAGGUGUAGCGGUGAAAUGCGUAGAGAUCUGAAGGAAUACCGGUGGCGAAGGCGGCCCCCUGGACAGAUACUGACACUCAGAUGCGAAAGCGUGGGGAGCAAACAGGAUUAGAUACCCUGUAGGCUCUGC
rnacentral:rRNA from 1 species